CAACCCUCAAGCUCUGCUUGGUAUUCAGCACCGUCUCUAUGGCAGGCUGCAAAAGUAGUGGCGGUCUUAGCCGGCUCCAAGCGUAGUACAAUCUCUCGCUACGGAGACCAGCUAAUGACCUGCUAAACCAGUCAUUUUUUACA
rnacentral:misc_RNA from 1 species